rnacentral:tRNA from 1 species
GCCUGGGUGGCUCAGUCGGUUGAGCGUCUGACUUCCGCUCAGGUCAUGAUCUCAAGGCUGAUAAGUUGGAGCCCAGCCUCGGGCU